rnacentral:lncRNA from 1 species
AGUGUGUUACCUGCCGACAGCAUAAUGUGAGGCAAGGUCUAGCUGUUCCCCCCCGGCAUACAAGCUUAUAGAGCAGCCUCCUUUGAAGAUCUCCAGGUGGACUUCACAGAGAUGCCAAAGUGUGGAGGUGUUCGAGUGUGGAUCAAGGACUGGAACGUAGCCUCUUUGUGCCCAUGGUGGAAAGGACCCCAGACUGUCGUCCUGAUCACUCCCACUGCUGUGAACGUAGAGAGAAUCCUAGCCUGGAUCCAUCACAACCGUGUAAAACCUGCAGCGCCUGAAUCCUGGGAGGCAAGACCAAGUCUGGACAACCCCUGCAGAGUGACCCUGAAGAAGAUGACAAGCCCUGCUCCAGUCACACCCAGAAGCUGACUGGUCCACGCACAGCCGAAGCAUGAGGAAGCUCAUUGUGGGCUUCAUUUUUCUUAAAUUUUGGACUUACAGUAAGGGCUUCAACUGUUCUUACUCAAACUGGGGACUAUUCCCAGUGUAUUCAUCAGGUCAGUGAGGUAGGACAGCAAAUGAAAACAAUCUUUCUGUUCUAUAGUUAUUAUCAAUGUAUGGGAACGUUAAAAGAGACUUGUUUGUAUAAUGCCACUCAGUACAAGGUAUGUAGCCCAGGAAAUGACUGACCUGAUGUGUGUUAUAACCCAUCUGAGCCCCCUACAACCACCAGUUUUGAAAUAAGAUUAAGAACUGGCCUUUUCCUAGGUGAUACAAGUGAAAUAAUAACUAGAACAGAAGAAAAAGGAAUCCCCAAACAAGUAACUUUAAGAUUUGACGCUUGUGCAGCCAUUAAUAGUAACAAGCUAGGAACAGGAUGUGGUUCUCUUAACUGGGAAAGGAGCUACAGAGUAGAAAAUAAAUAUGUUUGUCAUGAGUCAGGGGUUUGUGAAAAUUGUGCCUUUUGGCCAUGUGUUAUUUAGGCUACUUGGAAAAAGAACAAAAAGGACUUGGUUCAUCUUCAGAAAGGGGAAGCCAACCCCUCCUGUGCUGCCAGUCACUGUAACCCACUAGAACUAAUAAUUACCAAUCCCCUAGAUCCCCAUUGGAAAAAGGGAGAAUGUGUAACCCUGGGGAUCAAAGGGACAGGGUUAAACCCCCAAGUUGCCAUUUUAGUUCAAGGGGAGGUCCACAAGCACUCUCCCAAACCAGUGUUUCAAACCUUUUAUGAGGAGUUAAAUCUGCCAGCACCAGAACUUCUGAAAAAGAUAAAAAAUUUGUUUCUCCAAUUAGCAGAAAAUGUAGCUCAUUCCCUUAAUGUUACUUCUUGUUAUAUAUGCGGGGGAACCACUAUCAGAGACCGAUGGCCUUGGGAAGCCUGAGAGUUGGUGCCCACUGAUCCAGCUCCUGAUAUAAUGGGGGCUUGUCCAGGAUCUCAUCAGGACUGGAUGGCUCUCGCUGGACUAUACUGGAUAUGUGGGCAGAGAGCCUACAUUCAGUUACCUAAUGAAUGGGCAGACAGUUGUGUUAUUGGCACUAUUAAGCCAUCCUUUUUCUUAUUACCGAUAAAAACUACUGGUACUAUCUGUAAAUUCCAGACAUUGUAUGAGAAAGCACUGUAAAACUUUUUGUUCUGUUAGCUGAUAUAUGUAGCCUCCAGUCACAUUCCUCAUGCUUACUUGAUCUAUCAUGACCCUUUCACGUGGACCCCUUAGAG